UCCUACGGGAGGCAGCAGUAGGGAAUCUUCCGCAAUGGACGAAAGUCUGACGGAGCGACGCCGCGUGAGCGAAGAAGGUCUUCCGGGUCGUAAAGCUCUGUUGUUAGGGAAGAAGAAGUACCGUUCGAAUAGGGCGGUACGGUGACGGUACCUAACGAGAAAGCCCCGGCUAACUACGUGCCAGCAGCCGCGGUAAUACA
rnacentral:rRNA from 1 species